AUGGCCUCUGGUGUGACCGUCUCUGAUGGUGUCAUCAAGGUAUUCAGUGACAUGAAAAUUCACAAAUCCUCAAGGCCAGAAGAAAUGAAGCAAUGCAAGAGGGUGGUGCUCUUCUGCCUGAGUGAGGAAAGGAAGGACAUCAUCCUGGAGGAGGGCAAGUCUUGGAAGCAGAUGUAGGGCAGACUGUGGGUGAGUCCUCCUACACCACUUCUGUCAGGAUGCUGCCAGACAAGGACUGACCGUCACUACACUCUCUAGGAUGCAACCAAGGAGAGCAAGACAGAGGACCAACCUGCUGUUAUCUUCUGGGCCCCUCAGAGUGCAUCCCUUAAAAGCAAAAUAAUCUGUGCCAGCUUCAAGGAUGCCAUCAAGAAGCUGACAGGAAUAAAACAUGAAUUACAAGCUAACUGCUACGAGGACAUCAAGGCCCCCUGAACCCUGGUAGAGAAACUAGGUGGCGCUGUGGUCAUCUUCCUGGAGGGCAAGCCUUUG
rnacentral:lncRNA from 1 species